CGCGACUCGCCCCGAUAAGAGCAGGUCGGGAUUUAUGAAUCCCGCCAUCACAAAGACCGAGAGACGCUCGGCCCCCAUCAAUAAAUAAACACCCACCCCCCCCCGAACUCCCCACGGGGGUCACAGCGCUCCGUCAGUCCAGGGGGGUAAAUGUGUGUUUGGCUUGUCGGUGGGGGGGCGACACCAUUUUGUUUGUGUUGCGAUUUCAGAUCCCUUUUCAAAACAGCGCAGCUAAUUAAAAGAUUUAAUCCCUUCACACCUGUAAACACACACACACACACACACACACACACACACACGCCGUGCAAUUAUUGUUACUGCUUUGGUGUGUGAGGGGCGACGGGGGGGUUGAACCAACAUAUCAAUUUCCAUUGUUGCAAACAUGAAUUAGAGCAACAACCUGAUGUUGCUUCAAGCUGGUUGGUGUGAAUUUUAUUAUCGGCAGCGACUUCUUUUGUUUUAUGGCCGAAUAUCCUUCAACUACGUUGGAAAGCUUCCUGCUUCUCCCUGUGUGUGUGUGUGCGUGUGUGUGUCUCGCUAACGUGUGAAACCCUCUCCUGUUUUCUUUAGCUGUAACACCCCCCGCCGAACCCCGGCCGAGUAACACACACACACACACACACACACACACACUUGUGCUUUUCCCUGCGUGUCCUCACUCAGCAGGGCUCCUCUCUUUAUCCUCCUGCUGUCAUUAUCUUGUCCCUCAGCGAUGACGAGGACGCGUGAGUGUGUUUGUGCCCGUGUGCUGGAGACGGUGAUGAAGGAAAGUGAGAGUAAACACCGGCGGCGUGAUCCCUCCUCCCGCUAACCUCCAUCGGCGCCGCUCCUCUCCUGCACGCCGUCUCUUCAUCAACACUCACUCGAGCACAACGACCCUCUGAACACGGCGAGUCCGAACAUGAGAGACGAGUCCACCUGCGACCUACAGCAUCACGACCAACGCCAUGUCGGGUGAUGAGCGAGGUUCUCGCUGCCAUCGGCUACCCAGCGCGCACCCGCCGGCUGCUGACCUCUCCUCCGCGUACCUGAGCUUUCCACUUCAGGUGCAAAAGUCAAAACUUCCUCACUGUCAAUUUUGACAGAAGUAAAAGAGAGGAAGAAACUCUUGAAGAUUACCGAAGUGAAAUUGAUAGUUUUCGAUUGCGAGUUAUUACAUGCAAAGCGUACCCUCGCUGUGAACGCACCAUCCUGACUUGACGAGCUCCUGCAGAACCUGCGGGGACACUGGGCUCGAAGGCGUCCUCGUCCACAAAGACCUGCGUGUCGUUGCUCAUAGUUCUCAACGUAAAGCCCGAGUCGUUAGUUCAAGGUGAUCCUGCAGCACGGUGCUGGUCGACCUACACUGUGUUUCAGGGGGGAUUUAGAGUCAAGGAGAAGUUAAGUCUAUUCAGGAGUAGCGCUGGAUUUACAGACACAUCGCUGUGGGAGUAACGGGGUGUGUGUGUGUGAGGGGGGGGUUGGUUUUUCAAAUGUCAAAUCCACAGAGAUUAACAAGCAGUAGUGAGGGAGGACCGAACACCCCCCCCCCCUCCCACAUCCUCUCUUAAGGGGGACGGUCUUUCUCCUCCCUCCUUCUCUUCUUUUCACGCUCUUAACAUCCUUCCCCGUCCCUCGUGAGCAUGCACACAUUCUGCUGUCAUUCCUCUCUCGCAUAUUUUAAUACCCAGACUGUGUGGGGAGCUGUUGAAAGAGGAAGAGGAAGAAAAAAAGAAAAGGAAUCUCUCCUGCAUACAUUUAGAAAGCACGGCAAACAUGCUCUCUCAUUGUUAUGCAUUAAAGGUCUGAGCACGGCAGAGUAGCUGGGCUUUUUUUAUGCAGACUUCUAAUCGAUUGAGAGGGACAACCAAACCGGGCCGGCUUGAAGCUCCACCAGGAACAAAAGCAGCAGGUUCGUGGGAGCUGUGCUUCUCUGACAGGACGUCCAUGGGGAUGAAGGUGUAGCAGAGCAGGAGAAGUAACGAAGAAGCUGGAUUGAAACCACCAAACCAUCUGGUGCUUCGAUGGAGGCCGGAUGGGAACUCAAAUUCCCUCAAAGCUAACCGCUAACUUGAGCUAGCUCUCUUUGUUCUACUGGUUGUUCACAAUGUAGGAUUAUCAUUGAUGUUACUACCAGGAAAAGCACAGUCACAUUUUGGAAACUUUGGCCUCGCUGCAUCAUCGCCACAAAUCUGUCUUUUCAGUGCAAAAGCGUGGAGCAGUAAGAGUUUAAGUAAAUUGUUUGAUUCUGUUAACUUUUUUUAAUUCUACAGAAUUAAAGGUUUUACAGGACGUCCUAAAAAGAAAUCUGGAAAGUCCUUUGAGGUCUAGUCAUAAACCCUGCUAAAGGUUUCAGUCGUCUUGGGCCUCGGUUUCCUGUUACUUUGCCGUAGAUGUUUUCAUCAAAUUGGCUUCACUGACAAACAGAGAGCCAGGAGAGAUUAUUUUCGACGAGGCAUGAUUAGGGCGGCUAUAUGAGGCGCGCUAACGGGAAAUAGGAGCCAACAGUCGGCCUCGGGGGCCUCAGAGCUGCCCUGGCAUUACGCCCCACGCUUGGCAGUCUGUGUACUCACAGGAAGAGACCUCUGAAAAGCAGGAGCUCAGUUACAAAGACCACGAGAUGAUGGGCGAGAGGACCCCCCCCCCCCCCCCCCAUCGUCAUUCCACCUUAACUCGGUCUGUGAGCGCUGAACGGGAUUAGAGGAAUCGACUGUCUGGUUGGUAUCAAACGGUACCUGUGACACACACAUGUGGGGAGCCUCUUUCCUCAAUGACCCAAGGAGACAGAGUGCAAGUGUGUGAGUGUGAUUCAUUCAUAAUUCAGGUUAAAAUGUCUAUUUGGUGAAUAAAUAUCAAUACUUGCUGUGGUCGGUGCUGAUCUUCCUGUAAAGUGCUUUCAGCGUUGUUUUCAACUAAGUGUUUUAAAAGCCGAACCAAGAAAGGGAGUCUUGGGAGACGGAAGUGAGGCACCAGGAGGAAGAAUGUUGGUCGUGACACUGGGCGGGACGACAACUACGGCAAGCGUUUUGGGGUUUCAUGAUGUGAUUCUGCCAAGUUUUUUAAAGCUGCAUUCUCUGCAGUGACCAGCAGGGGGCGACUCCUCUGGUCCCAUAGAAGUCUAUGAGAAAAUGGCUCUACUUCUCUUAAUGUAUUCCUUCAGUAAACAUUAUAAACACGAGUUCAUGGUCUCAGUCUCUAGUUUCAAGUCUUCUUCAACACAGCGUGAUGUUCAUUUAGUAAAUUAUUGUCCAUUUAGAGUCAAACAGACCACGAAGCAGCUAUUCUAUUUAGGGCGGGACUUCGUGUGACUGACAUGUCUCUACCAGAGACGUCUUUAUGUCCACCUCUUGGAUACAUUCUUUGGGUGGGAUCUGUCCACCGCCUGCUCUCCCCUCGCUCCUCGUCUCCUCUUGAUCUGGCGACGUGAUUGGAGCGUUCUCGAUGGAGGCGGACCUCGACUGAUUUCUGGGUCACCGACG
ensembl:lncRNA